UACGUAGGGUGCGAGCGUUGUCCGGAAUCACUGGGCGUAAAGGGCGCGUAGGUGGCGCGGGAAGUCAACGGUGAAAGUUCGGGGCUCAACCCUGAAUCGGCCGUCGAUACUCCCGGGCUCGAGCACUGUAGAGGCAGAUGGAAUUCCGGGUGUAGCGGUGGAAUGCGUAGAGAUCCGGAAGAACACCGGUGGCGAAGGCGGUCUGCUGGGCAGUUGCUGACACUGAUGCGCGACAGCGUGGGGAGCAAACAGG
rnacentral:rRNA from 1 species